CCUACGGGAGGCAGCAGUGAGGAAUAUUGGUCAAUGGACGCGAGUCUGAACCAGCCAAGUAGCGUGAAGGAUGACUGCCCUAUGGGUUGUAAACUUCUUUUAUAUGGGAAUAAAAUGAUCCACGUGUGGGAUUUUGUAUGUACUUUAUGAAUAAGGAUCGGCUAACUCCGUGCCAGCAGCCGCGGUAAUACGGAGGAUCCGAGCGUUAUCCGGAUUUAUUGGGUUUAAAGGGAGCGUAGGUGGAUUGUUAAGUCAGUUGUGAAAGUUUGCGGCUCAACCGUAAAAUUGCAAUUGAUACUGGCAGUCUUGAGUACAGUAGAGGUAGGCGGAAUUCGUGGUGUAGCGGUGAAAUGCUUAGAUAUCACGAAGAACUCCGAUUGCGAAGGCAGUUCACUGGACUGCAACUGACACUGAGGCUCGAAAGUGUGGGUAUCAAACAGGAUUAGAUACCCCUGUAGUC
rnacentral:rRNA from 1 species